CUGGGCGUAAAGCGAGCGCAGACGGUUACUUAAGCAGGAUGUGAAAUCCCCGGGCUCAACCUGGGAACUGCGUUCUGAACUGGGUGACUAGAGUGUGUCAGAGGGAGGUAGAAUUCCACGUGUAGCAGUGAAAUGCGUAGAGAUGUGGAGGAAUACCGAUGGCGAAGGCAGCCUCCUGGGAUAACACUGACGUUCAUGCUCGAAAGCGUGGGUAGCAAACAGGAUUAGAUACCCUGGUAGUCCACGCCCUAAACGAUGUCAAUUAGCUGUUGGGCAACUUGAUUGCUYAGUAGCGUAGCUAACGCGUGAAAUUGACCGCCUGGGGAGUACGGUCGCAAGAUUAAAACUCAAAGGAAUUGACGGGGACCCGCACAAGCGGUGGAUGAUGUGGAUUAAUUCGAUGCAACGCGAAGAACCUUACCUGGUCUUGACAUGUACGGAAUCCUCCAGAGACGGAGGAGUGCCUUCGGGAACCGUAACACAGGUGCUGCAUGGCUGUCGUCAGCUCGUGUCGUGAG
rnacentral:rRNA from 1 species